rnacentral:rRNA from 1 species
AGCAGCCGCGGUAAUUCCAGCUCCAAUAGCGUAUAUUAAAGUUGUUGCAGUUAAAAAGCUCGUAGUUGAAUUUCGGGGUUAGUAGGUUGGUCGUGCCACUGGUAUGUACUGGUUCUACUGAUCCCUCCUUCUUGUAGAACCGUAAUGCCAUUCACUUGGUGUUGCGGGGAAACAGGACUGUUACUUUGAAAAAAUUAGAGUGUUUAAAGCAGGCUAACGCUUGAAUACAUUAGCAUGGAAUAAUGAAAUAGGACGUUCGAUCCUAUUUUGUUGGUUUCUAGGAUUGACGUAAUGAUUAAUAGGGAUAGUUGGGGGCAUUAGUAUUCAAUUGUCAGAGGUGAAAUUCUUGGAUUUAUUGAAGACUAACUACUGCGAAAGCAUUUGCCAAGGAUGUUUUCAUUAAUCAAGAACGAAAGUUAGGGGAUCGAAGACGAAUCAGAUACCGUCGUAGUCUUAACCAUAAACUAUGCCGACUAGGGAUCGGAUGAUGUUAAUUUUUAAUGUACUCAUUCGGCGCCUU